rnacentral:rRNA from 1 species
UUAAAGAAGCAUCCUCAAUGAUGGACCAAGCCUAAGUCCCAUGCAAAAUGGCACCAGAAAGGGUGAGAAUGUCAUUGUGACUUGACCAUGUCACACAUUUAGGCACUAUUUACAUGUUAGGUUAUUUGGGAAUGUAGCCCCAUUCAAGCGAUAAAUUCCAUCCAAGGCUAAAUAAGGGCGAGAGACCAAUAGUGAACAAGUACUGUAAUUGUGACUGGACCAUGUCACAUAUUUAGGCACUAUUUACAUAUUAGGUUAUUUGGGAAUGUAGCCCCAUUCAGGCAAUAAAUUCCAUCCAAGACUGAAUAAGGGCGAGAGACUAAUAGUGAACAAGUACUGUAAGGGAAAAAUGAAAAGGACUUUGAAAAAAAAGUCAAAAAGUGCUUGAUAUUGUUGGAAGGGAAGUGGAUGGGGGCUAAUGAUAUGGCUCGAUCAAAUGUGGAAUAGUAAGUGCCUGUCUGUUGAUCAACUUAAGGUGAGGAUCUAUAUAGGUCACGGUGAUGGCCUAAGCCCAGGCUUUUGAUAUACCCAUAGAGAUAUUGUUGUCGUCAUCAUGGAAUGUAGCAUGUGAUAUCUUGACGUGCCUCAGCAUCGACAUGCUCCUAAUAUCGACUUGUGGGCUCCCCAUCUGACUCAUCUUGAAAUAUGAACUAAGGAGUUUGACAUAUGUUCUAGUCAAUGGGAUAGAAAACCCAUAAUGUGCAAAGAAGUUGAUUAGCAAGAUCCUUCAUGGUUGCACCAUCGACCAACCUUAAUCUUUUAAGAAAGGUUCAAGUGUAAGCAUGCUUGUUAAGACCCGAAAUAUGGUGAACUAUCCUUGAGUAGUGUGAAGCCAAAGGAAACUCCAGUGAAGGCCCACAGCGAUACUGAUGUGUAAAUUAUUCAUCUAACUAGGGUAUGGGAGAGAAAGACUAAUCAAACCAUCUAGUAGUGGUUCUCUUUAAAAUUUCCUUCAGGAUAGUUAGAGCCUUUAGUAAGUUUUGAGGGCCAUUUCAAAUGGUUGAGCCUAAUGAUUAGAGACAUCAAGGGCACAAUGCCCUCGACCUAUCUCAAACUUUAAAUAGGUAGGAUGGCAUAGCUACUUCAUUAGGCUGCACCAUGUAAUCAAGAGCUCCAAGUGGGCCAUUUUUUAUAAGUAGAAUUGGCAAUGUAGGAUGAACUAGAAGCCAAGUUAUCGUGGCCAACUACAUGCUAACCUAGAACCCACAAAGGGUGUCGAUCGAUUAAGUUAGUAGGAUAGUGGUCAUGGAAGUUGAAAUUUGCUAAGGAGUGUGUAACAAUUCACUUGCCAAAUCUACUAGCCCCAAAAAUGGAUGGUGCUUAAGUGCAUGACAUAUACCCGAUUGUCGAGGUAAGGGUCAGGCCCUAAUAAGUAUGAGGGCAUGGUGGUUGUCAUAAAACCUGGGGCAUAAGCCUAGAUGGAGUGAUCGUUGGUGUAAAUCUUGGUGGUACUAGCAAAUAUUCAAAUGAGAACUAUGAAGGAUAAAAAGUGAAAAGUUUCCAUGUGAGUGGCACUUACACACGGGUUAGUCGAUCCUAAGAAAUAGAGGAAUUCCAUUCGAUAGUGCAUCUAGUGCGAGCUUUGAAGGGGAAUCAAGUUAGAAUUCCUGAACUAGGAUGCAGCAGCUAACAGCAAAGUUAGAAAGUCUAGAAAUGUCGAUAAGGGCCUCAAAAAGAGUUAUCUUUUCUAUUUAACAGCCUACCCACCCUAGAAACCCUUUAGCCAGUGCUAGGCUCUAAUAAUCAAAAGAGCACCACAUAUGGGGUGGUGUUUGGUGUGCCCUUGGUAGGCCUUAAAAAUUUAGUGGACUAAGUGACAUCCACACUCGAUCGUACUCAUGAUUGCAUCAGGUCUCCAAGGUGAGCAACCUUAGUUCAAUGGAAUAAUAUAGGCAAGGGAAGUCAGCAAAAUGGAUUUGUAACCUUAACAAAGGGAUUGGCUAUGAGGGCUUUGCAUGGGGGUCCUAGUCUCAAACUUGUCAGGUACUGAUGCAUUGCUCGAGUUGCUCUCAUGAUGAGAGUGGGUUACUCUAUGUUGACCGGAGGAUGGACUAAGAAUCAUUCCCUCAAGGGCCUUCCCCAAGUGAUGAACAGUCAACUCAUAACUAGUACGAACAAAGGGAAUCUAAUUGUUUAAUUAAAACAAAGCAUUGCAAUGGUCCAUGGGGUUUCUCACGUAAUGUGAUUUCUACCCAGUGCUCUAAAUGUCAAAGUGAAUAAAUUAAACUAAGUGUAGGUAAACAACAUGAGUAACUAUGACUGUCUUAAGUUAGCCAAGUGUCUUAUCAUCUAAUUAGUGAUGCACAUGAAUGGAUUAAUGAGAUACCCACUAUUUUUGUCUAUUAUCUAGCAAAACCAUAGCUAAGGGAAAGGGCUUGGCAGAAUCAAUGGGGAAAGAAGACCCUAUUGAAGUUGACUUUAGAUUGACUUAGUGAAAUGACUUAAGAGGUGUAGGAUAAGUGGGAGCCCUCGAGAAAUUGAAAUACCACUACUUUUAACAUUAUUUUACUUAUUUCGUCAACCUUCGUUGGUUGAUCUAGGUGACUGUCAGGUGAAGAAUUUGGCUGGGGUAGCAUGACUAUUAAAAUUUAACAUAGAUAUCUUAAAAUGAGCUGAACUAGAAAAGAAAUCUCAUGUUGAACAAAAGGUGAAAGCUCAUUUGAUUCUGAUUUCUAGUACAAAUAUGAACCGUGAAAAUGUGGUCAAUCGAUCCUUUAGACAUUUGGCAUUUGAAGCUAAAGGUGUCAAAAAAGUUACCGUAGGGAUAACUGGCUUGUGGUAGCCAAGCGUUCAUAGCGACAUUGCUUUUUGAUCCUUCGAUGUCUACUCUUCCUUUAUUGAAAAGCAAAAUUCACCAAGUGUUGGAUUGUUCACCCACCAAUAAGGAAUGUGCCUGGGUUUAGACCAUCAUAAGACAAGUUAGUUUUACCCUACUAAUGUUUGCAUCAUAAUAGUAAUUCAACCUAGUACAAGAGGAACCGUUGAUUUACACAAUUGGUUAUUGCACUUAAUUGAAAAGCCAAUGGCAUGAAGUUACUGUGUGCUACAUUAUGAUUGAACACCUUUAAGUCAGAAUUUGGGCUAGAAGCAACACAAUCACCCACCGCCUAACUACCAAUCGAUAGUAAGGGCCUAUGGCCCUCAAGGCCACAUGUUAUAGGCAUAGUCCCUGAGGUAGACAAGUUGCACAGGCAUCCUUAGAGCUCAAUUCCCAUCGAG